AUCCACUUACAAUCCCAUCACUCUUCUGUGCAGAUUGCUUGCUUGGCCUUUGAGGAAUUGGAGUUUUUGGAUCCUAUUGAAAUCCAUGCACUGGAGACUUGCACAACAUGGUAUUAUUCUGUAUGGCUCAGGGUUCAUUGGCUCGGGUACGAGUGGGAACCAGACCUUAACUUGGUUGUGAUCAAAGUCUUACUUGCUUCAACAGUUGACUAGCUUUGGUCGUGGGCUGGCUUUUCUACAGGAUUUACACAAGUUGGACUCAGUUGUGCAUGCUAAUUCAGUUGAUGGACUGCUGCAAGCAAGUUUCCUCCUGGCUUGGAUAAGUACCAACUAUGCUGCCAACUGGUUUUGCAGGCUUGGUUGUAGUUGUUGCAGAUGGUAUGCUCGAUUUUGCAUAGUUGGAUCAUGGUUCUGAUGAAGUAGGGCCAUCUGCAAGUUCAUCCUGGCCCUAGGUCACAAAGAGGUGGUUAUGCCAAAUGAUUGAUUGGACCAUAAAUGUUAGGGACCUGAUGCUGUUAUUUGGAUGUGAUGCCAAUACCCCUGCACCCUUGCCGCUACUGACUGGUGUGUGGAUGAAUGGAAGUGCAGGAUAGUUUGCUGCAGAAUGGGUACUGUUAACAGCAGGUAUGUGAAUGUUGCAAUAUUUGUGGUCUUUUCUCUCUGUUUGGAGCAAAUACAUGGCUUUUU